rnacentral:rRNA from 1 species
UACGGGGGGAGCAAGCGUUGUUCGGAUUUACUGGGCGUAAAGGGCGCGUAGGCGGCGUGACAAGUCACUUGUGAAAUCCCCGGGCUUAACCUGGGAACUGCAUUUGUGACUGCAUCGCUGGAGUGCGGCAGAGGGGGAUGGAAUUCCGCGUGUAGCAGUGAAAUGCGUAGAUAUGCGGAGGAACACCGAUGGCGAAGGCAAUCCCCUGGGCCUGCACUGACGCUCAUGCACGAAAGCGUGGGGAGCAAACAGG